UACGUAGGGGGCAAGCGUUGUCCGGAUUUAUUGGGCGUAAAGAGCGUGUAGGCGCCAGACAGGUCCGUUGUGAAAACUCGAGGCUCAACCUCGAGACGCCGAUGGAAACCGUCUGGCUAGAGUCCGGAAGAGGAGAGUGGAAUUCCUGGUGUAGCGGUGAAAUGCGCAGAUAUCAGGAAGAACACCCGUGGCGAAGGCGGCUCUCUGGGACGGUACUGACGCUGAGACGCGAAAGCGUGGGGAGCGAACAGG
rnacentral:rRNA from 1 species